rnacentral:rRNA from 1 species
UGAGGAAUAUUGGUCAAUGGGCGCAAGCCUGGUCCAGCCAUGCCGCGUGCAGGAAGACGCAUCUAUGGUGUGUAAACUGCUUUUGUACGGGAAGAAACACCCCCUCGUGAGGGGGCUUGACGGUACCGUAAGAAUAAGGAUCGGCUAACUCCGGGCCAGCAGCCGCGGUAAUACGGAGGAUCCAAGCGUUAUCCGGAAUCAUUGGGUUUAAAGGGUCCGUAGGCGGUUUGGUAAGUCAGUGGUGAAAGCCCAUCGCUCAACGAUGGAACGGCCAUUGAUACUGCCAGACUUGAAUUACUGGGAAGUAACUAGAAUAUGUAGUGUAGCGGUGAAAUGCUUAGAUAUUACAUGGAAUACCAAUUGCGAAGGCAGGUUACUGCCAGUGGAUUGACGCUGAUGGACGAAAGCGUGGGGAGCGAACA